rnacentral:rRNA from 1 species
UACGAAGGGGGCUAGCGUUGUUCGGAUUUACUGGGCGUAAAGCGCACGUAGGCGGAUCGUUAAGUCGGGGGUGAAAUCCUGGAGCUCAACUCCAGAACUGCCUUCGAUACUGGCGAUCUUGAGUCCGGAAGAGGUGAGUGGAACUCCUAGUGUAGAGGUGGAAUUCGUAGAUAUUAGGAAGAACACCAGUGGCGAAGGCGGCUCACUGGUCCGGUACUGACGCUGAGGUGCGAAGCGUGGGAGCAACAGGG